UUUCUUUGCUGGCGACCGGCGCACGGGUGAGUAACACGUAUCCAACCUGCCCUUUACUCGGGGAUAGCCCUUCGAAAGAAAGAUUAAUACCCGAUAGCAUAAUGAUUCCGCAUGGUUUCAUUAUUAAAGGAUUCCGGUAAAGGAUGGGGAUGCGUUCCAUUAGGUUGUUGGUGAGGUAACGGCUCACCAAGCCUUCGAUGGAUAGGGGUUCUGAGAGGAAGGUCCCCCACAUUGGAACUGAGACACGGUCCAA
rnacentral:rRNA from 1 species